rnacentral:tRNA from 3 species
GAGUGGUAGUUCAGUUGGUUAGAAUACCGGCCUGUCACGCCGGGGGUCGCGGGUUCGAAUCCCGUCCACUCC